GACGAACGCUGGCGGCGUGCUUAACACAUGCAAGUCGAACGGUGAAGCGCUUGCCUUUUUGGUGGGUGUGGAUGAGUGGCGAACGGGUGAGUAACACGUGAGUAACCUGCCCUCUUCUUCUGGAUAACCUCAUGAAAGUGGGGCUAAUACGGGGUAUUCCGGGUCUGUCGCAUGGCGGGUUUGGGAAAGAUUGCGCCUUUGGGUGUUUUCGGUGGGGGAUGGGCUCGCGGCCUAUCAGCUUGUUGGUGGGGUGAUGGCCUACCAAGGCGGUGACGGGUAGCCGGCCUGAGAGGGUGGACGGCCACACUGGGACUGAGACACGGCCCAGACUCCUGCGGGAGGCAGCAGUGGGGAAUAUUGCACAAUGGGCGCAAGCCUGAUGCAGCGACGCCGCGUGAGGGAUGGAGGCCUUCGGGUUGUGAACCUCUUUCGCCAGUGAAGCAGGCCUGCUCCUGUGUGGGUGGGUUGACGGUAGCUGGAUAAGAAGCGCCGGCUAACUACGUGCCAGCAGCCGCGGUAAUACGUAGGGCGCGAGCGUUGUCCGGAAUUAUUGGGCGUAAAGAGCUCGUAGGUGGCUGGUCGCGUCUGUCGUGAAAUCCUCUGGCUUAACUGGGGGCUUGCGGUGGGUACGGGCCGGGCUUUGAGUGCGGUAGGGGAGGCUGGAACUCCUGGUGUAGCGGUGGAAUGCGCAGAUAUCAGGAAGAACACCGGUGGCGAAGGCGGGUCUCUGGGGCGGUUACUGACGCUGAGGAGCGAAAGCGUGGGGAGCGAACAGG
rnacentral:rRNA from 1 species